CCUACGGGUGGCAGCAGUGAGGAAUAUUGGUCAAUGGACGAGAGUCUGAACCAGCCAAGUAGCGUGAAGGAAGACUGCCCUCUGGGUUGUAAACUCUAUUUAUAUGGGAGUAAAUUGCUACACGUGAGGGAGUUUGUAUGUAUCACUUGAAUCAGGAUCGGCUAACACUGGGACAGCAGCCGCGGUAAUACGGAGGAGCCGAGCGUUAUCCGGAUUUAUAGGGUUUAAAGGGAUCGUAGGUGGAUUGUUAAGUCAGUUGUGAAAGUGUGCGGCUCAACCGUAAAAUUGCAGUGGAAACUGGCAGUCUGGAGUACAGUAGAGGUGGGCGGAAUUCGUGGUGUAGCGGUGAAAUGCUUAGAUAUCACGAAGAACACCGAUGGCGAAGGCAGUUCACUGGACUGCAACUGACACUGAGGCUCGAAAGUGUGGGUAGCAAACAGGAUUAGAUACCCGUGUAGUC
rnacentral:rRNA from 1 species